CCCCAAAACCGGAAUCUUCUAAUUAAACUA
rnacentral:tRNA from 1 species